GGUCCGAUGGUGUAGUUGGUUAUCACUUCUGUCUAACAUUUACAUGAGAAAUUGAGUAAUUGGGACACAGGCGGUCCUCAGUUCGAACCUGGGUCGGAUCA